GAUGAACGCUAGCGGCAGGCCUAAUACAUGCAAGUCGAACGGUUGUAGUGAUACAAUAGUGGCGCACGGGUGCGUAACACGUAUGCAACCUACCUUAUAGACGGGGAUAGCCUUUGGAAACGGAGAUUAAUACCCGAUAGUAACCUUGAUUGGCAUCAAUUAAUGUUUAAAGAUUUAUCGCUAUAAGCUGGGCAUGCGUCCAAUUAGUUAGUUGGUUAGGUAAUGGCUGACCAAGACGAUGAUUGGUAGGGGAACUGAGAGGUUAAUCCCCCACACUGGCACUGAGAUACGGGCCAGACUCCUACGGGAGGCAGCAGUAGGGAAUAUUGGGCAAUGGAGGCAACUCUGACCCAGCCAUGCCGCGUGCAGGAUGAAGGCGUUAUGCGUUGUAAACUGCUUUUAUAUAGGAAGAAAUAGACCUUGCGAGGUAAGUUGACGGUACUAUAUGAAUAAGCACCGGCUAACUCCGUGCCAGCAGCCGCGGUAAUACGGAGGGUGCAAGCGUUGUCCGGAUUUAUUGGGUUUAAAGGGUGCGUAGGCGGUUUAUUAAGUCAAUGGUGAAAGACGGUCGCUCAACGAUUGCAGUGCCAUUGAUACUGGUAGACUUGAGUGAGAUUGAGGUAGCUGGAAUGGAUAGUGUAGCGGUGAAAUGCAUAGAUAUUAUCCAGAACACCAAUUGCGUAGGCGAGUUACUAAGUCCUCACUGACGCUGAGGCACGAAGUGGUGGGUAUCAAAACAGGAUUAGAUACCCUGGUAGUCCACCACUGUAACGAUGAUACUACCUGUUGCUUUCCGGGUCAGUGGGUANNAAGAAUUCGUUAAGUUAUCCCACCUGGGGGAGUACGCCCGCCACGGUGAACCUCAAGGAAUUGACGGGGGUCCG
rnacentral:rRNA from 1 species